AAUCAGGGCCCAAUCAGCUGACUGUCAGCUGGGACGGGCUGGCUUAACCCUUCCUGCGCCGCUGCCUACCCGGGAGGGAACGAGGCCCGGCGCAAAGUUUGGUAUUUUAAAGCGAUAGGCAAGUCGAAGAAGCAGAGAUUUAUUUGGAGAGAAAGCUCCUGAAACCGACCCAGCCUUUGGAAGACCAGCCCGUCUGCUUAGAAGUUGGGACUGUUGAUUCCUUCAAUUAAUGAAAUGCAUUUGGUGUUUUUAAUCGUAUUUAUUUUACUUUAUGAGAAGGGGGAGACGCUAGGAGGGUGCAUUAAAAAAAAAAAAAAAUUCUGAAAAGCCUGCAAAAGGAUCGAAGAGUGGAAACUAUUGUUGGAGCGAGUUGGUUUUUACCUCAACAGCGCCACCUUUCGGCAAAGGUUUCUUUCCAAGGGUAUCAUUUAGAUGGGGGCGUGUGUGUAGGGUGGGGUAGGGGGCAAAGUGAAGAAGGCCCUAGGCUUUCCGUACACUGUUUGGAUUGGAUGAUCUUGACGUGAAAUGUGAAUUCUGGAAAAACCUGUAAUUAGUGAUCUCUGCCUUUGUAGAGAACCAUGAUAACAAGUAAAUUAGCACUGGAAGAAUUUGGGGGUUUAUCAUAUUUUUGUUUCAAUUAUUUGCUUAUUUGUUUUUGUCUCUGCAGGUUUCUUCCUUGGAAAACAAUAUACAUCACUUAAUGAAAUCUUUGUUUGUUUUGCACAAGAGAUGUAAAAAAUCCAGAUGUUUUCUUCAGUGAGAAUUCCUGGGAAGGUGUACCAGCCUUCUUCUCUUUCUUCACCUGACAAAGACACCCAACACGGCCUCUCAGACCGGAGGUGUUUAAUAUAUAGUUUUGACACGCAUGAACAUGGGAAUGAAAGGGCUCCUUUUGGUUUUAGACAAUAGACAGAGCUAUAAAAUGAUGAUGGAGCCUGUUUUCCCCACUCUUGUCAUUUUAAGUCAAUAGAUUUCCUGGGUUUCUUCCCCCGCCCCCCCACUUUGCCUUUUCAGGGGAUAGGCAUCUCCUUAGAUUUUUGUUUUUCUUCACUUAGGGUCAGCUUUAUGAUUCGUUCUUCUGCUGUCAUCCUUUUUCAUCCUAUUCACAGCCUGUACCGGUGAGGGAAUUUGUCUCAAAAGCAUUCAGCCCUUCAAAGAUUUUUAUUGUGGUGAACUCAGAACUGAUAAACAGAAAAACAGAAACAGAAAAAGGGAACUGAUAUGGGGGCGAUCUUGAUGCGGGUUGUGUCUCUCAUGCAUGAUAACUCAGAGGACAGGCUCCUCGGUAGUGCGGUAGUGCUAACUCUGUGAAGUUUCUUCACCCUCCUUCCUAGCCCUGGAGGCGGGGUGAUUCAUAGCUCCUGUUCCAAAGGCAUUCAGCAGCCAUUCGACCUGGGAAAGAAACAGAGUUUUAGAAAAUACAGGCCAAAUGUAGAGACGCCUGUGAUUACCAGGAUGAGUAUGUCAGUGCAGGUGGCUUCUGAAUUUCUGUUUCUGAGUUUGUUUGGCUGAUGCCUAAGGAAAGGGGUCCCUUACAGCCCUGUUUUAUACCUUAGUUCUUGGUGGCAACGUGGGUGUUGCUGAUCUCUCUGAUGUGUUUUUCUGUGCACUGAAAACACCAGACAUGCUCCGUGACAUCCUCGGAGCAUCUCCCAUCAUAAUGGAGUGUUCCUAACCUGACAAAGAAUAGCAUAUUACCUCCCCAUCUACUCAAAAUAAAAUUAUAGUAAAAUUUAUCGCCCUU
rnacentral:lncRNA from 1 species